rnacentral:rRNA from 1 species
GCGAGCGAAGCGGGAAGAGCUCAAAUUUAUAAUCUGGCACCUUCGGUGUCCGAGUUGUAAUCUCUAGAAAUGUUUUCCGCGUUGGACCGCACACAAGUCUGUUGGAAUACAGCGGCAUAGUGGUGAGACCCCCGUAUAUGGUGCGGACGCCCAGCGCUUUGUGAUACAUUUUCGAAGAGUCGAGUUGUUUGGGAAUGCAGCUCAAAUUGGGUGGUAAAUUCCAUCUAAAGCUAAAUAUUGGCGAGAGACCGAUAGCGAACAAGUACCGUGAGGGAAAGAUGAAAAGCACUUUGGAAAGAGAGUUAACAGUACGUGAAAUUGUUGGAAGGGAAACGCUUGAAGUCAGACUUGCUUGCCGAGCAAUCGGUUUGCAGGCCAGCAUCAGUUUUCCGGGAUGGAUAAUGGUAGAGAGAAGGUAGCAGUUUCGGCUGUGUUAUAGCUCUCUGCUGGAUACAUCUUGGGGGACUGAGGAACGCAGUGUGCCUUUGGCGGGGGUUUCGACCUCUUCACACUUAGGAUGCUGGUGGAAUGGCUUUAAACGACCCGUCUUGAA